rnacentral:rRNA from 1 species
AUGAACGCUGGCGGCGUGCCUAAUACCUGCAAGUCGAGCGAACAGACGAGGAGCUUGCUCCUCUGACGUUAGCGGCGGACGGGUGAGUAACACGUGGAUAACCUACCUAUAAGACUGGGAUAACUUCGGGAAACCGGAGCUAAUACCGGAUAAUAUAUUGAACCGCAUGGUUCAAUAGUGAAAGACGGUUUUGCUGUCACUUAUAGAUGGAUCCGCGCCGCAUUAGCUAGUUGGUAAGGUAACGGCUUACCAAGGCGACGAUGCGUAGCCGACCUGAGGGGGUGAUCGGCCACACUGGAGCUGAGACACGGUCCAGACUCCUACGGGAGGCAGCAGUAGGGAAUCUUCCGCAAUGGGCGAAGGCCUGACGGAGCAACGCCGCGUGAGUGAUGAAGGUCUUCGGAUCGUAAAACUCUGUUAUUAGGGAAGAACAAAUGUGUAAGUAACUAUGCACGUCUUGACGGUACCUAAUCAGAAAGCCACGGCUAACUACGUG